rnacentral:rRNA from 1 species
CCAAUAGCGUAUAUUAAAGUUGUUGCAGUUAAAAAGCUCGUAGUUGAAUUUCGGGGUCAGUAAGUUGGUCGUGCCACUGGUAUGCACUGGCUUUACUGAUUCCUCCUUCUUGUAGAACCGUAAUGCCAUUAAGUUGGUGUUGCGGGGAAACAGGACUGUUACUUUGAAAAAAUUAGAGUGUUUAAAGCAAGCUAACGCUUGAAUACAUUAGCAUGGAAUAAUGAAAUAGGACGAACGAUCCUAUUUUGUUGGUUUCUAGGAUUGACGUAAUGAUUAAUAGGGGUAGUUGGGGGCAUUAGUAUUCAAUUGUCAGAGGUGAAAUUCUUGGAUUUAUUGAAGACUAACUACUGCGAAAGCAUUUGCCAAGGAUGUUUUCAUUAAUCAAGAACGAAAGUUAGGGGAUCGAAGACGAUCAGAUACCGUCGUAGUCUUAACCAUAAACUAUGCCGACUAGGGAUCGGAUGAUGUUAAUUUUAUAAUGACUCAUUCGGCGCCUUACG